rnacentral:rRNA from 1 species
GACGAACGCUGGCGGCGUGCUUAACACAUGCAAGUCGUACGGUAAGGCCCUUUCGGGGGUACACGAGUGGCGAACGGGUGAGUAACACGUGAGUAACCUGCCCACAACUUUGGGAUAACGCUAGGAAACUGGUGCUAAUACUGGAUAUGUGCUCCUGCUGCAUGGUGGGGGUUGGAAAGCUCCGGCGGUUGUGGAUGGACUCGCGGCCUAUCAGCUUGUUGGUGGGGUAGUGGCCUACCAAGGCGGCGACGGGUAGCCGGCCUGAGAGGGUGACCGGCCACAUUGGGACUGAGAUACGGCCCAGACUCCUACGGGAGGCAGCAGUGGGGAAUAUUGCACAAUGGUCGCAAGCCUGAUGCAGCAACGCCGCGUGCGGGAUGACGGCCUUCGGGUUGUAAACCGCUUUCAGCAGGGACGAAGCUUUUUGUGACGGUACCUGCAGAAGAAGCACCGGCUAACUACGU